UAAAGUGGCGCACGGGUGAGUAACACGUGACUAACCUACCCUCGAGUGGGGAAUAACCUAGAGAAAUCUGGGCUAAUACCGCAUAACACUUACGAGUCAAAGCAGCAAUGCGCUUGAGGAGGGGGUCGCGGCAGAUUAGCUAGUUGGCGGGGUAAUGGCCCACCAAGGCGAUGAUCUGUAUCCGGCCUGAGAGGGCGCACGGACACACUGGAACUGAAACACGGUCCAG
rnacentral:rRNA from 1 species